UGACCGGAGAGUCACGUGUGUCCGCGCCGUGACGUAGGGCCUUCCCAUUGGCUGGCGGACGGACAGACUGAGCCCUGGGAGCGGUGGGAGGGAGUCGGACGGAGGCGCCUAUGGAAUCAUGGGGGGGUGCUCCCCGGAGAUGGAACCCUGUAACCUCGCACCCUGCAUACUACCGGGGCAACUGUGCGUGUCCCGCCGGGCCCAGCACCGACCGAGAGAAACGGAGUCGAGCUCCUCCGAGAAGAAAAUUCCGCUCCGACAUGGCUGGAUCCCCAUCACCCGGUUAGAAGGUCCCUUCCCCGGAUUUUUUUGCCUCCGGCACUUCCUGAAACCACAACCGGUUUUGUAGUUUGUCGCUGUAAACAUCCCCGACUGGAAGCUGUGAGGCUGCAUUUGAGCUUUCAGUCUGGUGUUUGCUGCUACCGGCUACAGACGCUUCUCCCCCUCGCAGUGCGCCGGCCUGUUCUGUAAACCAAUGCUCUCCCUAAAUUACUUAUUAACUUAUAAACUUAAUUAUCAGUGAUUUAUUAACCCAUUGCAUGGCAGAACAUGACAUUCAAACCACUAAUCACACUGGUUUCAUUUCAGCUUUGUAGUUUUGCCUGGCAUGUAAAGGGUCAAAGGUUGCUCCCCCCUCCACAGAGAACUCCCCUACAUGGGAAGCAUGGCACCUAUGGCAAAUGCUGUGGAUUGGUUGGGGAUUACAAGCAAGAGAUCCCUGAUUUGCCAUAGGUGGAUCAGAUAGGCGCUGUCUCUAUACUCUGAGAGACCAAUGAAGCAGUCAGACUGUCCCAUACACCAUUAGGGCGAAGACACAUGGAGCUACUUAGUAGCAGUUACUUGUCACGGCUACUAAACGCCAGAAAAUCCCCUGCCAUAGACAAUACUGAGAAUUGCCUUUAACACACACGUAGAGACAGUUAUCAGUAAAUGAUCAGCAUUGUCUUUUUUGUAGCUGUGAUAAAUAGUUGCCACUAGUAGCUCUGUGUGUCUUCACAGAUUAGUCGCCCACAAUAAACUUAAGUACAACAGGUGACUAAUCUCCCCAAAACGCCUUUCCACUGCAGCAAUUUGAAUCGCAGGUGUAAAGGCAUAACAUGAUGCUUCGUUUUUCCGAAGUCGCACAAUUUCACACAACUUCGUGAAAACAAAGUGACACGUAUGCCUUUCCAUCGGCUGUUUAUGUGGGCAACUUAUCUGUCUAUGGGGCAUUAGCCCUAAAGGUGGCCAUACAUAACAAUUUGCAGGAUAGAGGUUCAGGGCUGAAUGUCAGAUAUUGAGGUAUAAACAAUAGGACUUCUGCCCAUAUCUAACAAUUUAGCCCUAAAUGUAGCUUUUUUGUGUGCACUUUCAACAGCGCCCAAUCAAAAUCUUUUGUCUUGCCCAUUCGUUGAGACGACUGAUAUCCAAGGCUUUUUCGAUAUCUGUCAUAUCGACAUGCACCAAUUAUCGUACGAAACCUUGUUUUGUACGAUAAUAUCGGUGCAUGUAUGGCCGGCUUUAGGCAGGGCUGUCCAACAGGAGGUCCAUGGGCUGGAUUUGGCCCUCCAAAGGAUUUUUAAGGCCCCCCCCCCAGUCUGCUCAGAGGCUCCAUAGACUUCACUAUAUAAAUUAGAGAGCACUGGCCAUAGGGAUCCCCAGCGUUCUUGAGUGAAUAAACCAAAUAUACGACACACAAAGCACCAUUGAAACAUGUUACACAUGUAGGAUGUUUAGGAUUACAUGGCAGGCUGCCCGCAUUACCUACUCACACCCUUACAGAAGGCCACGCCCAUACUGCCCCUGGCUGAUAUCAUUAGGCCAUGCGUCUAUUCAUACACGGCUCCUGUAUGGAGCUCCAGUAUCACUGUAGUAGUUGCAGCAUUUUCCAGUGAGUGCAUUCCAUCAUUGGGACCCCCCUCGACUAUAUUUAAUGCAGCUCCCCCCUUAAUUAAAAACACAGUCAUUUAAACAUCUGAAAUUCUACCGUUAUUCUUUAUUAGAAAAACAUUAAACCGUCAGUACAGGUGAUUCCCCCCCGGGGGGGACCUGUUUCCCAGUCUUGGGUCCCCAGAUGUUGCUGGACUGUAACUCCUACACCACUUGCUGGGGGCUGUCUAAAAACAUCUGGGACCCCCGGGGCAGAGAAACAAGGCUCUAAGGAAGGAGGCCGAGUUCCUAUUGUGCAUUAUCCACAUUCCCAAAGCUUUCAGGAAGAUCAUUCCGGCAUACAGAAACUUCAAAAUCAUUUUUCUAGCAGUAUGUCCUCCCCAAUUGCUUUGAUAAACAGAAGUCACAUUUAGAUCAGCAGUUAUUUAAUACUGGGAGUUGUAGUCCAGCAGCAGCAGCAGUUUACCUUUCCCUUGGUGUAAUUAAAAUGUCAUUAGUAAUUAUAAUAAUUGUGGCUUCUGCAGGGAAAGCUUCUCUGUUAUUAUUAUACUUGUCAGGUCAUUAUUUGCACAUGUCCGUAGGGCAGGAUUCUAGAAAUAACACAUUUCGGGAAAAAUCUAAAUGAAUGGAGAUUGCCAAAAAAUAAUAGGCGGGUUGACAUCAGUGGGAAAAAUGGUUUCACAAAAGUUGGGUAUUAAUAGCCUAUAGCAGGGGUCCCCAACCUUUCUUACUCGUGAGCCCCUGUCAAAUGUAAAAUGAGUUGGGGAGCAACACAAGCAUCAUAGGGGUGCCAAAUAAGGGCUGUAAUUGGCUGUUAGUCUGCAGAGAGGUAACCAAACAGCCUAUAGCAGGUUAUGUUUGCUAGUUUAUUUUGUUUUUAUCUAACUAAACUUGCCAGCGAGCCAAGAAUGCAGAAAUGAACACAUGCUACGAGGCCACUGGGAGCAACAUUCAAGGGUUGGUGAGCAGCAUGUUGCCCCUGAGUCACUGGUUGGGGAUCCCUGGCUAAUAAUAUUAAACUAAUUCCCCCUUCCCAACAACAUCAACCAAAUUGUAAAAAAGAAGUGAUAAGUUUGACCAUAGCUGGUAGCCAAAUGCAGAGAUGUGCAGCAGGAUUGGUGGCCGCUAUGUUUGGCUGUAUGACAUUUGGUGCCAAGGUGGAGAUGGCUGAUACAGGGCCAGGUUGGCUUUAAACCACUAAUGUGAAGCCUCAGACAGUUGAUACAGCCAAACAUGGCAUCAAUCCCUAGGUCAGUGAUCCCCAACCAGUGGCUCGGGGCAACAUGUUGCUCCCCAACCCCUUGGAUGUU